AACGCUUAUGCUAGUGCUAAUGGGGAUCCUAAUAAAGAAUAAAGAAUAAAGUUAACGAGCAUCUGACUAGUAUUGCCUACACUUUAUAUAUAUAUAUAUUAUAUAUAUGUUAGAGUGUAGGCAAAAGUUGUUAACAAUGCAAUGUCAUAUUCUGAACCUCUCUACUACUGACCUUUCUGCAACUCUGAAAAUAAUUAAAUUUGAAGAUAAUUUAUUUGAAGUUUUCUGGCUGUACACACAUGGUUGAGUGCAUUAACAUGUAAUGCUAAGAAUAUCUGUUGAUGACUCAUCUGUGACAUUACUGUGGGUGUCACCCACAUGCUCACCUCACAGUUCUUCUUUUGGUUCUUUUAAACAAACUGGAAACCAUUUGUAUGCCAAUUAUUUAUCUACUUGGCACAUAUUGAUUAUAAGAUAUAAUAACAAUUCCUUAAAGGAAACAAGAUCCUGGUGCAGAAUAAUGUCAAGAAACUCAGAAUAAAAAUCUAUCUGUCAAAAAAUAGAAACACCUGCACUGUGAUUCAGAUUGAUUUCACAUGAUAAAAUUGUGUUUAUGUUGGGCUGUUCUUUCCUGCCGUGUGAAGAAGUUUUGAUAUGCAGGAAGCGCCGAACAUCAAACACACUUCCUCCCUCAUCAAUUCCUAAUAAGACCUUGUGAAAGGAAGACAGGAAAUCAAUUAAGCUCCAUCACAGGGUUUUUACCUCCCGCUGUCAGGAUGGGACCUGGAGCUCUGGACUGCAGUAGGACGGAGACAGAAGAGAGGGAGGUGAUGGAGGUGGAGCUCGAGGUGGUGGACAUCCUAUCGAUCUUGCCUUCGCCAUCUGAUUUCUCGUCGGCGCUCAGGGAGUCCACAUCUCCGUCACCGCCGAGCACGAAGCCCAGAGCCUGCAGCGCCUGAGGAGCGAACACAAAUUAUUCAUUACCUUCAGUAAAUAGUCUGUCUCUACUGCAUUAAACAGUCAUCUAAAUAUAGAAGUAAUUGGUUCCCUAAUGUCCCAACACAUCCACAUCCAGUGUCGGUGAUUGAGCUGCCCUUGAGCAAGGCAGUGAACACUGACAGUGCUGCAGUGAGGCUGCAGAAUGGCCAUCCUCAUCAUCAUUAACACAAACCCAGCCUGUGAAUGUGUAACUGAAUGUAUACUGAACAACAGAAAGUGUGAGCAGUCAAACUUUACAAGUUUAAUAGAAAUGUUUGUCACAAAAAGAUCCUCAUCUGUUCUCGCAUCAAUUGAAAAAAUGUAUUUUUGUCCAAGUUAGUUAGAUAGAAUAGAAUCGGAGGAUGAACCCCUCUUUAUUAGUCACAUACAUGCACACAGCAGAGCACACACAGUGAAAUUGGUCCUCUGCAUUUAACCCAUCCUAGUACUAGGAGCAGUGGGCAGCUAUCGUGCAGCGCCCGGGGAGCAAUGGGGAGGGGGAUUGGAGGUGUCGGGUGCCUUGCUCAAGGGCACCACAGCAGGGCCCAGGAGGUGAACUGGGACCUCUCCAAGUAGCAGUCCACUUUCUAUAUUUCAAGUCUGUUCGGGGACUUGAACCGGCAACCCUACGAUUCCCAGUCCAAGCCCCUACUGACUGAGCCACUGCUGGACAAAUGCGGUCUCUGCAUUUGACCCAUCCUAGUGUUAGGAGCAGUGGGCUGCCAUUAUGUACGGCGCCCGGGGAGCAGUGUAGGUAACCAGUGUCUUGCUCAGGGACACCACGGUGGCACUUGGUCUUUCGGGGACUUGAACUGGUGACCUUCCAGUUCCCAGGCCAACACCCUAUGGACUUUGCCACCACCGCCGUUUGUUGUUUAAUAUCUAACUCCAAGCAUAGUUGUUAUUGUUAUUAUUAUGUGGGCUGUUGCUCAAUUGUAUCUACAUGUGAUUUGUCUUAAAAGAAAAAAGGAGCGACAGAAGAGAAACAAAUAUUCUUUUUUUUCUUCAUGAAUUUGGUCACAAAAAAAGUCACUUCCAUUUGUAGAGAAAUAUUACGGGAAUCCCUAAGGGGACAUGCACAAGGUAUUGAAUGUAGCUCUCUGCUUGUGAAUUUGAUUGAUGUCAUUUCCCUUUAAUAGUAAAGUAUAUUUUAUUCCUAUAUAUUAUACAGCCCCGGAAAAAAUUAACCACUUCAGCAUUAUCAUUUUCUCUUGUUUAAAAAUGUAUAAAUUAAAUAAUUAAUUAUUGUUUGUUGUAUUGUAUUCUAUAAAAUACUGACAACAUUUCUUUGUGUUGGAAUUCAACAGGCUGCCAUACAUGUAGAGAUAAAGAUUUAAGAACAAUUUGGAGUGGUCUCUUAAUUUUUUCCAGAGCUGUAUACCAUGUAUUGAACAUGGGGAAUACCUUGAGGGCCACUUGGAGCUUGGUCGUCCUCUUGGAGUUGCCCGUGGCCUGGUAAGUGGUUCCCUGGAUGUCCACAGACAUGGUGAAGACCGGGGCGUGCACUGGGCCGGACUGGGACAGCAGGCGGUACUGGAGGCCCGGGUGGAUCUGGUUGAGACGCAUGAGAGCGUUCAUGGGGUGGUUAGGAUCCGUCAUCCUCCAGUCCAGGACUAAGGGAGGAGAGAUGCACGUGUUAACUGUGGGCUUAUAUAACCCUAAAGAGAAAUUAGAUAGUGCUAACACACAACAACAGGAACUAUGAAGACCAUUUGGAAACCUUAAUCUGGAAAUUGAACGAAAUGUAAUCACAUUACAAAGUUGUUCCAAACUUCGUCCCAGAAUACUGCUGUAAAAAACACCACAAGAAAGUGUUUGCAACAACAGCAUUGCACUUUUAUUCAUUUAGCAGUACUUUUGGGCAAUACACUACUUCUGAAUUCAUUAUUGAAUUUUGCGCAUAACAACAAACGUUUUAAUCGUAGGAUUACAUAUAAAAUUAUUUCAAAUAAACCCAACAACUGCAUGCAAGAACUGAAAGGCUAAUGAUAAUCAAUAGUACUUAAAGUUCAAUUUCGACCCAAACAGUCUCCAGAUUUUACUGCUGUUAAAAACAUAUUUAGAGUGCACGGAGCAGUGUUCACUGACUUUUUUAUUUUCCCUAAAGACGGAUACUGAUGUGUUUAGUAUUUUAAGCUGCCAUUUUAGAUAUCUGGAUGUAUUUUUCUUCAGAGUAAGGCGACCCAGAUUCAUUUCUGUUCUGAAUGAAAUUCAAUGGGCAAACUUGAAAUGUAUAGCAUUUAUAGCAGGAUAACAUUUUAAAAAGGACAUAUUGUGCUCAUUUUCAGGUUCAU